rnacentral:rRNA from 1 species
AGUGAACGCUGGCGGUAGGCCUAAUACAUGCAAGUCGAACGGCAGCACAGUAAGAGCUUGCUCUUACGGGUGGCGAGUGGCGGACGGGUGAGGAAUACAUCGGAAUCUACUUUUUCGUGGGGGAUUACGUAGGGAAACUUACGCUAAUACCGCAUACGACCUACGGGUGAAAUCAGGGGAUCUUCGGACCUUGCGCGAUUGAAUGAGCCGAUGUCGGAUUAGCUAGUUGGCGGGGUAAAGGCCCACCAAGGCGACGAUCCGUAGCUGGUCUGAGAGGAUGAUCAGCCACACUGGAACUGAGACACGGUCCAGACUCCUACGGGAGGCAGCAGUGGGGAAUAUUGGACAAUGGGCGCAAGCCUGAUCCAGCAACACCGCGUGGGUGAAGAAGGCCUUCGGGUUGUAAAGCCCUUUUGUUGGGAAAGAAAAGCAGCAGGUUAAUACCCCGCUGUUCUGACGGUACCCAAAGAGUAAGCACCGGCUAACUUCGUG